rnacentral:rRNA from 1 species
UACGUAGGGUGCAAGCGUUGUCCGGAAUUAUUGGGCGUAAAGGGUGCGUAGGCGGCCGUGCAAGUCUGGCGUGGAAGCCCCGGGCUCAGCCCGGGAAGUGCGCUCGAAACUGCGCGGCUCGAGUGCCGGAGGGGAGAGUGGAAUUCCUGGUGUAGCGGUGAAAUGCGUAGAUAUCAGGAGGAAUACCGGUGGCGAAAGCGACUCUCUGGACGGCAACUGACGCUGAGGCACGAAAGCGUGGGGAGCAAACAGG